rnacentral:rRNA from 1 species
UACGUAGGGUGCGAGCGUUGUCCGGAAUUAUUGGGCGUAAAGAGCUUGUAGGCGGUCUGUCGCGUCUGCUGUGAAAAUCCGGGGCUCAACCCCGGACUUGCAGUGGGUACGGGGCAGACUAGAGUGUGGUAGGGGAGACUGGAAUUCCUGGUGUAGCGGUGAAAUGCGCAGAUAUCAGGAGGAACACCGAUGGCGAAGGCAGGUCUCU